AGAAUCAACGCUGGCGGCGUGCCUAACACAUGCAAGUCGAACGCGAAAGGGGAGCAAUCCCUGAGUAGAGUGGCAAACGGGUGAGUAACACGUGGGUGACCUGCCUUCGAGUGGGGGAUAACGUUCCGAAAGGAACGCUAAUACCGCAUAACAUCCUGCUUUUGGAAAAGCGGAGAUCAAAGCUGGGGAUUCGCAAGAACCUAGCGCUUAAAGAGGGGCCCGCGCCUGAUUAGCUAGUUGGUGAGGUAACGGCUCACCAAGGCUACGAUC
rnacentral:rRNA from 1 species